rnacentral:tRNA from 1 species
ACCUGGGUGGCUUAGAUGGUUAAGCAUCUGACUUCGGCUCAGGUCAUGAUCUCAUAGUUUGUGAGUUUGAGCCCCACAUCAGGCU